UACGAAGGGGGCUAGCGUUGUUCGGAAUCACUGGGCGUAAAGGGCGCGUAGGCGGCUGUUCAAGUCGGGGGUGAAAGCCUGUGGCUCAACCACAGAAUUGCCUCGAUACUGGACGGCUCGAGACCGGAAGAGGUCAGUGGAACUGCGAGUGUAGAGGUGAAAUUCGUAGAUAUUCGCAAGAACACCAGUGGCGAAGGCGGCUGACUGGUCCGGUUCUGGACGCUGAGGCGCGAAAGCGUGGGGAGCAAACAGG
rnacentral:rRNA from 1 species